rnacentral:rRNA from 1 species
UACGGGGGGGGCAAGCGUUGUUCGGAAUUACUGGGCGUAAAGGGUGCGUAGGUGGUUAGACAAGUCAGACGUGAAAUCCCCGAGCUCAACUUGGGAACUGCGUAUGAAACUAUCUAGCUAGAGAGCAGUAGAGGGUAGUGGAAUUUCCGGUGUAGCGGUGAAAUGCGUAGAUAUCGGAAGGAACACCAGUGGCGAAGGCGGCUACCUGGACUGCAACUGACACUGAGGCACGAAAGCGUGGGGAGCAAACAGG